rnacentral:rRNA from 1 species
AUACGUAGGGGGCGAGCGUUGUCCGGAAUGAUUGGGCGUAAAGGGCGCGUAGGCGGCGCGGUAAGUCUGGAGUGAAAGUCCUGCUUUCAAGGUGGGAAUUGCUUUGGAUACUGCCGCGCUUGAGUGCAGGAGAGGUUAUCGGAAUUCCCGGUGUAGCGGUGAAAUGCGUAGAGAUCGGGAGGAACACCAGUGGCGAAGGCGGGUAUCUGGACUGCAACGGAAGCUGAGGCGCGAACGUGUGGGGAGCAAACAGGAUGUGAUACCCUGGUAGUCCACGCGGUACACGAUGGGUACUAGGUGUAGGAGGUCUAGACCCCUUCAGUGCCGGAGUUAACACAAUAAGCGUUCCGCCUGGGGAGUACGGCCGCAAGGUUGAAACUCAAAUGAUUUGGCGGGG